ACCAACACUGUGCCUAAGGCCCUGAAGACUGGCAAGAAACUGUGGUCCUCUGAAGACUACAGCACUUUUAAUAACAAUGUUGGCGGAGGCUGCUGGGCCCGAAUUCUCAACCAGAACUAUGUCAAUGGCAAAAUGACAGCGACCAUAUCUUGGAACCUUGUUUCUAGUUAUUAUGAUGACCUUCCCUUUGGAAGGGAUGGACUAAUGACUGCAAAUGAGCCAUGGAGUGGAAAUUAUGUUGUUGAGUCCCCUAUUUGGAUAACGGCCCAUACUACCCAGUUUACGGAACCUGGCUGGAUGUACCUGCAGACGGUGGGACACUUCACACACGGUGGAAGUUACGUUGCACUGACUGAUGAGAGAGGAAAUCUAACAAUAAUCACUGAA